GAUGAACGCUGGCGGCGUGCCUAAUACAUGCAAGUCGAGCGAACGGACGAGAAGCUUGCUUCUUUGAUGUUAGCGGCGGACGGGUGAGUAACACGUGGAUAACCUACCUAUAAGACUGGGAUAAUUUCGGGAAACCGGAGCUAAUACCGGAUGAUAUUUUGAACCGCAUGGUUCAAAAGUGAAAGACGGUCUUGCUGUCACUUAUAGAUGGAUCCGCGCUGCAUUAGCUAGUUGGUAAGGUAACGGCUUACCAAGGCAACGAUGCAUAGCCGACCUGAGAGGGUGAUCGGCCACACUGGAACUGAGACACGGUCCAGACUCCUACGGGAGGCAGCAGUAGGGAAUCUUCGGCAAUGGGCGAAAGCCUGACGCAGCAACGCCGCGUGAGUGAUGAAGGUCUUCGGAUCGUAAAGCUCUGUUAUUAGGGAAGAACAUAUGUGUAAGUAACUGUGCACAUCUUGACGGUACCUAAUCAGAAAGCCACGGCUAACUACGUG
rnacentral:rRNA from 1 species